UACAGAGGUCCCAAGCGUUGUUCGGAUUCAUUGGGCGUAAAGGGUGCGUAGGCGGCAUGUUAAGUCGGGUGUGAAAUCCCGGGGCUCAACCCCGGAACUGCACUCGAUACUACCGUGCUCGAGUACUGGAGAGGAGACUGGAAUUUACGGUGUAGCAGUGAAAUGCGUAGAUAUCGUAAGGAAGACCGGUGGCGAAGGCUAGUCUCUGGACAGUUACUGACGCUGAGGCACGAAGGCCAGGGGAGCAAACGGG
rnacentral:rRNA from 1 species